rnacentral:rRNA from 1 species
UACGUGGGGUGCAAGCGUUGUUCGGAAUUAUUGGGCGUAAAGGGUGCGUAGGCGGUUUUGUAAGUCUUGUGUGAAAUCUUCAGGCUCAACUUGAAGACUGCACGAGAAACUGCAGGGCUUGAGUGUGGGAGAGGUGAGUGGAAUUCCUGGUGUAGCGGUGAAAUGCGCAGAUAUCGGGAAGAACACCCGUGGCGAAGGCGGCUCUCUGGGACGGUACUGACGCUGAGACGCGAAAGCGUGGGGAGCGAACAGG